CCUGCAGCGGCACUGUGCCCACGCGCGCCCGGGGCCAGCGCCCCCAGCGCGCACCUGGUCCCGCCCAGGGACCCCAGCCAGCAGCUGCCCUGCUCUGCUUCGCCGCCGUGUCCCUUUCUCCUUCACGGGUCCCACCAAGCUGUGUUCCCCCAUCUGAAGACAUCCCUGGGGGGCACGGGAGGGAGGCGGCCGGCCAUGCAGCAGCUGUCCUGGGGGGCCAGGUGUGGGCGUUCCUCGUGGCCAGCAUGGGGAGAGGCAGGAGGUUCAGCCGGGCACCCGUAUCUUCAGCACUUAGGAUCCUGUCUGGUGGCACAUAACACCAUGUUCAUGAAUGAGUGAGUGAGGCCUGUAGCCCCCCUGCCCUUGACAGCCGCAUAGACAGGGAGGCUUGGGGACACCUGCAUGUGGCUGAGGAAGGGACACAAGGGGGACUCGAGGAGGAAGCUGGGCAGGAAAGAGUGAUUUCCGAGUUCUGCGUAUCGCUAGCUAGGCGCAAUCACGACACACCUUGGUCAAACCGGCGGCAGGGAGCUCCCGCUGAGCGCAGUGCUGCGCGGCCGGGACAGUGGCGGCGUUUUCCCAGCUUCGCCAGCAGGCGGCGCCGUGCUUCCCUGGAGCCACACCCCCAGGACCCGCGACUGGGGGAGCGGUCGCCCAGCGUGGGCCUGGGCCGCUCCAAGGCUGCGCCGGCACUAGCCCCUCUGUCGGGGGGCAGACUUGCAGGCCCCCAGCCCUCCAGGGGUGUAUGUGUUUGUACAUCCAAAGCUGGCCCCAAACCUGAGGGGCCUGGAAAUCGUAACAACCGGGGGCUGAGAGCACGUGCUGCCAACAGACUUAAAUUCAAAUCCCUGUUCAGCCACUUAACGCCGGGUAAACUUAGGCGUGUGGCUUUGCCUCUCUCUGCCUCCGGUUUCUUACCUGUAAAGAAGGAGUCUAAUCCUGACCUCACACAGUGGUCGUAAGGGUUAAAUUGGAUAAUGCCAAUAAACACAUAUACUGAGCUCUCACAAAGGGUCAGGCAUUGUUCUAAGCACUUUACUACAUAUAUUAAUUCAUUUUUAUAGUUCCCUGUUACAUGGGAGUGACUGGGAACCAGAGACUGAGCCUCCUCCACAAAGGAAAGGAGGCCAGGCCCCCCACUGGUCCCUGGACACCACCCAGAGUUGAGGCGCUACCCAAAGGGAUGCUGCAGGCUGAGGGCCUCCUGUUCCCAGUCCUGCAACCAGUAGCCCACCCGGAGAGGGAACAGAGACCGCUGGUGGGGCGGGGUGGGGCCCCACCACCUGGAGAGCAGCCCUGGAACCCCCGAGGCGGCGGGUGCCUCCUGUCCUGUCCGUACUGGCUUCUGCUGUGGUCUGACAGUGCCCAGAGGUGUCUGGGAACAGUGCCUCUGGGGGCAGGAGGAGGGCACGGUGGUGUGCGGUGGGCACCGUGGUUUCAGCCUCCAGGUCUGUGGGCAGCAGGGUCUUCCGCAGAGGGCAGCCAGGACUGGCAGGCCCGGAGAACUGGAUUUGAGAGCCCUGUGGAAUGCUGGGGGAUGCCCAGGCAUAAAAAGGUGGUAGUCAGGAAGUAGACGUGGGUGGCGAAGUGUGCCGAGGCACAGGGCAAGCCCCUGUGCACCAAGCCGCAGAUCUCUGGGAGCCCUGGACUGGGAAAGGCUUUGAGGAAUUGUGGGGAGGGUCCCCAGGAGCCCCAUUUGCCUGCUGGGGUCUGUCCCAGUGAGGGGCAAGCAGGGUGAGCCCAGCUUCCUGUCCCUGGGCCAGGGGACAACUGGGGCCCACUGGGGACUUGGAGAGAACUCCCCACCCUGUCACCUCACUCCAGUCAGGCCACCUCUGCUCCUUGGGGUCUCAUCCUGACAAUGCCUCUCAGGCUCAAAGCAAUAGGCCUGGGGCUACCCCGAGUCCAGGCCUGGGAAGGAAAGUGGGCUCUGAGUUCACCUGAAGUUCCGGGUCCGCUGGGCUGCCAGCCGGCUGAGGUCAUAGAUACCUGAUUGUGUCGUGGAGGUUGGUGCCCACCCUCUGCUCUGUCGGUUGGCCUACUUCCUCUCCCUGGCUGCCCCUACUCUUGUCCAACAAAGGACCAGGGCACUUGGUCCUUCUAGAUCACACAUUCCAGGAACCAGAACCUCAAGGGAUGGGCUCUCAGCAGCUGGCCCUGCUCC